UCAGAGAUGCGUCAUGCAUAUCAAUAAGCGGAGGAAAAGAAACUAACAAGGAUUCCCCUAGUAACGGCGAGUGAAGCGGGAAGAGCUCAAAUUUGAAAUCUUAAAGGGUUUCCCUUUACGAAUUGUAGUUUAAAGAAGUGUUUUCUGUUGAGGUUUUGGUAAAAGUUCUUUGGAAUAGGACAUCAUAGAGGGUGAGAAUCCCGUAUUUGACCUUUACUUUCAACUUUGUGAUACACUUUCAAAGAGUCGGAUUGUUUGGGAAUGCAGUCCAAAAUGGGUGGUAAAUUUCAUCUAAAGCUAAAUAUUGGCGAGAGACCGAUAGCGAACAAGUACCGUGAGGGAAAGAUGAAAAGAACUUUGAAAAGAGAGUUAAACAGUACGUGAAAUUGUCAAAAGGGAAGCGUUUGACACCAGUGUUGUUUUUCUGAAAAUCAAUUAAAGAACUGUUUAUGCUAAGCUGUUUAGACUUUAUCAGCUAAUCUGUUUAGUUUUGAGCUUUUCUUUAAUGCACUUUUCAGUUAACAAGUCAACAUCAAUUUCUUUUGCUGUAAAAAAGCUUGAGGAAGGUGGCUUGAGAUUCGUCUUAAGUGUUUAUAGCCUCUUGCCUAUGCAGUCGGAGAGAUUGAGGUCUGCAGCGUAGAUCCUUCGGGGCUAAAUGCAUUUGUGCUAAGUUAUAGCAUUUUAUAGACAACUUGUUGACUAUGAUUUGUCUUGUAGCUUACUCGCUUAUGUUAUUUUACCUACGCUUAGGAUGUUGACACACGCGCGUGCUCG
rnacentral:rRNA from 1 species